AUGAUUGGAAGUUUCCUUCUCUUCACAUCUAUAUUUUGUUACAGGUUAAAAGGUCUGAAAAUCUAGGUAUGCUAGCAUUGACAAUCUUGCAGCUCUUUUGAAUUAGUCCUAAAUCAUAACAGAAAGCUUUCUGUCAUGAUAAUAUAUAUUUCCGGAUACAUACUAGAGGCUACAUAUUGGGCAAUACUAGAGGAUACAUACUAGAGGCUACAUAUUCCGACUUGCCAAGCCUUAAAGCCAAGUUUUUGUUCAUCGAUUUACCUACAAAAGAUUAAGAGUUAUAAUAGAUUCUCUGAUCUAAACGAGUUAAUGCAAUGUUGCUGGCAGGUGCUAGAGGCCACAUAUUGGGCAGGAGCUUUCGUAUGGUGUGCAAGUGCUAGAGGCUACAUAUUGCUGGAAGGUGCUCAAUUCACAUUAGGACAGCCCACCCCCAAGAAGAAAUUAAAACAGAGGUGAGACCUCAACUUCAUGCCGAUAAAGUUAAUCGCUUCACAUAUACACGGUCCUUCACUCUCACUGAUAAUGCACCUUCACUUCCUUUUACCUGCCUAUGUAAUCACAAAUAUGAGAAAUCUAUUGCCUUAUUGAACUUUGAAGAUCCACGUUCCGAGGUACAUAAUUGACUAUAUUGGCAAGUUACAUCUUUUUUGUGGGCAGGCAAGUUACGUCUUAAUUCUACUGUUUUGUCCAACCUUGCAUUUUUUAAAUCAAUGGAGAAGACCAGUUCUCUCCAAGUGCGCAUAGUCCUCUUUCCUGUAACCAUAUGAACUACUAAAGCCAAUCUGUUGUUGGACUGGGUCACAUACAUUUUGUGCACCGCGCUUCCAUACUCAUGUCAUAUUUUGGCAAGGGCUAUUCUCACUAACAUAUUCUGUCGUACCAACUGUCAUCUUAUGUAAACAUGCUGUCAACCUAUGAAAUCUACUCCCUCCGUCCCAUAAUAUAAGAUGUUAUACCAACCAAUAUAUGAGUACAUUGGUUGUAAUAACAUUGGACAUUGCUUUGUUGAACAUCUUUCUGAGUUUCACUUAUGCAAAACAAUGACAUAUUCUUUCUUGUGUCAUAUGGUGGUCUUUUUUGUAUUUCAGUGGAACUGGACUGUGAUAUUAAAGAUCAUGCCACUGUUAUGUUUUAGGAGCAAGUUAUUACUAAUGUUGGAUUAUCAAAUACCAUUUUAAACUGGAGUUCACAAAAAAAGUCAAAACAUAUAGCGAUGUAGCACAUGAUUUUACAAGUUAAUUAUCAGCACAUAUACAUUCAUUGUUCUUCACGGAUUUCUUGAUGCUAAAACCGCCUGAUACAUGGAAGUAUACACCUCUGCUUACUAAUAGGAUCUAUUUGAGUAUGUACUCUAGCCUGGUUAGAUAUAUCUUAUGCAUGUUCUUACCUUUGUUUCCUUAGUGUACAACCUUAUACUUGGUGUCUUUUGAACUUAAAAUGUAUUACAUAACAACGGGUGAAAGAGCUGGUGUACAUAAUCAUCGAAGAGUCGGGAUAAAACUGAAAAAAUGGAACUCUUGAGCUUUGUCACAUUUUAGUAGGAAAAGUUGAUAUGCAGGUUGUCAAGAGCUUCUUUUUUGUCCAUCAGAUAGUUUAUAUAGCCUUGUCACCGAAGGUAAGUUUCGGAUAGGGGAUGCUGCUUGUGAAAAUUAUAUACAACUACGAGUCCCUAAGUAAGUUCCGCAUAGGGGAUGUUGCUUGUGAAAAUUAUAUACAACUAUGAGUCCCUUUCUCUUUCCUGAUAUUUACAAUUCCUUUUCAAUUGGCCGUCACCGGCACUGGCUGAAAUAUUUAGUUCUGUUGUCGUGCACCUAAUACUUGCACACUAUUUGUUUAUCUAUUUAGUUGGUCCUCACUGAAAAUAUAUAUAUUGUCCGCGAUGGAUGUCGAAUUUGGUGUGGAAUAGUUAAUGAGAAUCUGGAGAGUGCCUAAUGUUACAUCAACCUUUAUUCCAUCCCAGAUACACUAUUAGUGUUGAUCAGCUACAAAGAACACUAAAUAAUAUAUGGGGAUUAGAAUGUAGGUACAUGGAAUGCAAUCCAGCAGAGGAACUCAACAAAUGAAUAGACUCAUAGAAAGCUACCAGUUCACCUCACACUUGAUCUAUUAGCUUUUUUUGUUUUUCAGUAGUAGCAUGUAUGCCAUGUAGAUGAGUUAUUCAUAAAACUUACUGGUUCUCUAGAGGAAACAUCUACUUUAUCAAAAGACAUCAAAGCUAAUUUUCUAGGAUGAUAUGAUGAUACCUUAUAUAGAAUCCAGUUUACUCGCUCUUCAUAGAAGUGCUUUUUAAGUGGUAGAAGUGUGCAGAACAUUUUUACUCCCUUUUCUCCAUUAACUGUUCAAUGGAUGAAUAAUUAUCUUUCUGCUUUAGGAAUACUAGCUUGAUUAAUUAGUGUCUCUGUGCGAUCGAAAAAUUUGUAAGUCCUGAAAGUGAAUCCUGACCGAUGUACCCCUGCUUACCUUUCUAUGCACAGAUUAUUCACUUUGUGAAGAUCAAUAACAAUGAGGAGCAGAUGCCGGCAGCUGAGGCGUGUUUGUCUGGUACACACGAGCCAAUUUCUCCUGUUAGGGUGGACGACAUGCAAGCAGCCGCGAUGACGGACAGGCCGCUCUCGCACCACCAGACUCCCUUCAGGGUAGUUACCCACGGGCACGUACUUUUGCCGUUUAUUUUUACUUGUGAUUCCGCUCGUUGUGAACGUGGCUCGAUCCAUGUUGUGGCCCAAUUAAUAUUUUUGUUUUGUUUCGAUGGAUCGUCUUGGCUUGCUUUUGGCCUGAAGUUGUUGCCUUGCUUUUGGCACACCUGAUUCCACUACCUUUUGUUGUUGCUUGGACCAGUUUCUAUGUAAUGAACAUAUUUAUAUCAAUGUUGUGCUUCUGUUAUAAUCUUGCUAUAUUACACUGGUGAUUUUCGGUGA